rnacentral:rRNA from 1 species
AACAGCUCAAAUUUGAAAUCUGGCCCCCGGCCCGAGUUGUAAUUUGUAGAGGAUGUUUCGGACAAGCACCGGUCUAAGUCUCCUGGAACGGAGCGUCAUAGAGGGUGAGAAUCCCGUAUGUGACCGGCCAGCGAGUCCAUGUGAAUCUCCUUCGACGAGUCGAGUUGUUUGGGAAUGCAGCUCAAAAUUGGAGGUAAAUGCCUUCUAAAGCUAAAUACUGGCUAGAGACCGAUAGCGCACAAGUAGAGUGAUCGAAAGAUGAAAAGCACUUUGAAAAGAGAGUUAAAAAGUACGUGAAAUUGUUGAAAGGGAAGCGCCUGCAAUCAGACUUGCCCCGGAGUAUUCAGCCUUUGGUGUAUUUACCCCGGGUCAGGCCAAUAUCGAUUUAGGUGGCCGAACAAAGGCUCAGGGAACGUAGCUCCUCUCGGGGAGUGUUAUAGCCCGGGCGUAAUGCGGCCCACCUGGAUCGAGGACAGCGUUCGCUAGGAUAUUGGCGUAAUGGUUGCUGGCGACCCGUCUUGAAACACGGACCAAGGAGUCGACCAACUAUGCGAGUGUUUGGGUGUCAAACCCAUGCGCGUAAUGAAAGUGAACGGAGGUGGGAACCCUCGGGUGCACCAUCGUCCGAUCCUGAUGUCUUCGGAUGGAUUUGAGAAAGAGCACAGUUGGUCGGACCCGAAAGAUGGUGAACUAUGCCUAAACAGGGCGAAGCCAGAGGAAACUCUGGUGGAGGCUCGCAGCGGUUCUGACGUGCAAAUCGAUCGUCAAAUUUGGGUAUAGGGGCGAAAGACUAAUCGAACCAUCUAGUAGCUG